UACGGAGGAUCCAAGCGUUAUCCGGAUUUAUUGGGUUUAAAGGGUGCGUAGGCGGAUAAGUACGUCAGUGGUGAAAGCCUGCAGCUUAACUGUAGAAUUGCCAUUGAUACUGCUUGUCUUGAGGACAGUUGAGGUGGGCGGAAUAUGACAUGUAGCGGUGAAAUGCUUAGAUAUGUCAUAGAACACCGAUUGCGAAGGCAGCUCGCUAAACUGUAUCUGACGCUGAGGCACGAAAGCGUGGGGAUCAAACAGG
rnacentral:rRNA from 1 species